GACGAACGCUGGCGGCGUGCUUAACACAUGCAAGUCGAACGGAAAGGCCCUGCUUUUGUGGGGUGCUCGAGUGGCGAACGGGUGAGUAACACGUGAGUAACCUGCCCUUGACUUUGGGAUAACUUCAGGAAACUGGGGCUAAUACCGGAUAGGAGCUCCUGCUGCAUGGUGGGGGUUGGAAAGUUUCGGCGGUUGGGGAUGGACUCGCGGCUUAUCGGCUUGUUGGUGGGGUAGUGGCUUACCAAGGCUUUGACGGGUAGCCGGCCUGAGAGGGUGGCCGGCCACAUGGGGACUGAGAUACGGCCCAGACUCCUACGGGAGGCAGCAGUGGGGAGUAUUGCACAAUGAGCGGAAGCCUGAUGCGGCAACGCCGCGUGCGGGAUGACGGCCUUCGGGCUGUAAACCGCUUUCGCCUGUGACGAAGCGUGAGUGACGGUAAUGGGUAAAGAAGCACCGGCUAACUACGUG
rnacentral:rRNA from 1 species